AAUGUGGUUAAUGAUGUAUUUCUUUUUUCCCCGUCUUAUCGACAAUGGUGAUAACCAGCUGUUACUAAGCCAAACGUGUCUGAAACCACAUU